AUCCCUGUAGUGCAAUAGAUAAGCACGUUGGACUUCUACUCCAAAGAUGCGUGGGUUCGAAUCCCACCUGGGAUG